rnacentral:rRNA from 1 species
GAAAAAGCUACUAAGAGCGCAUGAUGGAUGCCUUGGUGCCAACAGGCGAAGAAGGACGUGAUAAGCUGCGAUAAGCCACGGUGAGCCGCAAAUAGGCCCCGACCCGUGGAUUUCCGAAUGGGGUAACCCGUUCCGGUUAAUACCGGAUCAUCUCCGAUUGAAUACAUAGAUCGGAGGAAGCAACACCCGCUGAAGUGAAACAUCUCAGUAAGCGGAGGAAAAGAAAACGAAUGUGAUUCCGUAAGUAGCGGCGAGCGAAAGCGGAACAGCCCAAACCCAGGAGCUUGCUCUUGGGGGUUGUAGGAGCCCGACGUGGCAGUGCAACGGUUAGGAGAAGCGGAUGGAAAGUCGCUCCAUAGAAGGUGAAAGACCUGUAACCGAAAACCCGAGCACGCCUAGGGAAUUCCUGAGUAAUGCGUCACACGUGAAACGUCGCAUGAAUCCACGCCGACCACGGCGUAAGGCUAAAUACUAGUUGGCAACCGAUAGUGAACAAGUACCGCGAGGGAAAGGUGAAAAGAACCGCUGCGAGCGGAGUGAAAUAGUCCCUGAAAUCAUGUGCUUACAAGGUGUCAGAGCCCGCAAGGGUGAUGGCGUGCCUUUUGCUUAAUGAGUCUGCGAGUUAGUGUCCGUGCCAAGUCUAAGUCCCUCAGGGAUGUAGGCGAAGCGAAAGCGUGUCCGAAAUGGGCGAUAAGGUGCUGGCACUAGACCCGAAGCCGAGGUGAUCUACCUAUGACCAGGUUGAGGCCCCAGUAACAUGGGGCGAAGGACCGAACCGAUGGACGUUGAAAAGUCCCCGGAUGAGUUGUGGGUAGGAGCGAAAGACUAAUCAAACCCGGUGAUAGCUGGUUCUCCCCGAAAUCUAUUGAGGUAGAGCCUCAAGUGCUGACCUGCGGAGGUAGAGCACUGGCUGAACUAGGGCCCAUACCCGGGUACCGAAUUCAAUCAAACUCCGAAUGCCGCAGGGCGAAGCUUGGGAGGCAGUCCGUGUGGGAUAAGCUGCACGGUCGAGAGGGAAACAACCCAGAUCAGCAGCUAAGGUGCCUAAAUAACGUUUAGUGGAAAGGAUGUGAAGAUACUUAGACAGUGAGGACGUUGGCUUAGAGGCAGCCAUCGUUUAAACAGUGCGUAAUAGCUGACUCAUCGAGUGUUUUCGCGCCGAAAAUGAUUGGCGACUCUGGACGCGCAAGCGUGGUAGGGGAGCGUUCUCAGCGCCUUGAAGCAGCCUGGUAAUGGGCUGUGGAGUACUGAGAAGUGAGGAUGCAGACAUGAGUAGCGAUAAACCAGGUUAGAUCCCUGGUCGCCGUAAACCCAAGGUUUCCUGGGGAAGGUUCGUCCUCCCAGGGUUAGCCGGAUCCUAAGUCGAGGCCGAUGGGCGUAGACGAUGGAAAGCAGGUCAAUAUUCCUGCGCCGCCGACAUUUAAACUGAAAGGACGCUGGUUAGGAGAAGAGUCGUCGAAUGAAAGUGACGGUCCCGCAAGGGGACGUGGAGACUUCGGUCAAAGCGGAUUCUUUAAAUGGCCAGCCAAGAAAAGCUUCAGUGUAUACUAAGGCGUCCGUACCGUAAACCGACACAGGUGGGUGGGCAUAAGUGUGCCAAGGCGCGUGAGUGAAACCUCGUUAAGGAACUCGGCAAUCUAGCCCCGUAACUUCGGAAGAAGGGGUGCCCCGUAAGGGGUCGCAGUGAAAUGGGUCAACCGACUGUUUAACAAAAACACAGCACUCUGCUAAGUCGUAAGACGACGUAUAGGGUGUGACACGUGACCAAUGCCGAAAGAUUACGGUAAGAGGUUAGCCGCAAGGCGAAGCUUCGAGCCCAAGUCCCGGUGAAUGUCGGCCGUAACUAUAACGGUCCUAAGGUAGCGAAAUUCCUUGUCGGGUAAGUUCCGACCUGCACGAAUCGUGUAACGAGUUGACCGCUGUCUCAACGAGGAGCUCAGCGAAGUUGUAUUGGCGGUGAAGAUGCCGCCUGCCCGCAGUAGGACGGAAAGACCCUAUGCACCUUUACUGUACGCUGUCACUGUUGUUUCGAUUUUAAUGCUUAGAGUAAGUGGGAGGCUUUGAUUCUAUCUUUUAGGAGGUAGAUGAGCCGACAAUGAAACACCACCCUUUGGAAUUGAGACAUCUAACCGCGGCCCGUUAACCGGGCGCGAGACACUGGCAGCCGGUCAGUUUCACUGGGGCGGUGUCCUCCUAAAGAGUAACGGAGGAUUACGAAGGUUGGCUCAACCUGGUUGGCAAUCAGGUGACGAGUACAUGGAUAUAAGCCAGCUUAACUGCGAGACCCACAAGUCGAGCAGAUACGAAAGUAGGUCCAAGUGAUCCGGUAGUUUAAUGUGGAAUUGCUAUCGCUCAAAGGACAAAAGGUACGCUAGGGAUAACAGGCUGAUCCUGCCCAAGAGCUCAUAUCGACGGCAGGGUUUGGCACCUCGAUGUCGGCUCAUCACAUCCUGGGGCUGGAGAAGGUCCCAAGGGUCCGGCUGUUCGCCGGUUAAAGUGGUACGCGAGCUGGGUUCAGAACGUCGCGAGACAGUUCGGUCCUUAUCCACUGUGGGCGCAGGAGAUUUGAGGGGUUCAUUCCUUAGUACGAGAGGACCGGGAAUGACGAACCACUGGUGUUCCAGUUGUCGUGUCAACGGCAGUGCUGGGCAGCUAUGUUCGGAAAGGAUAAGCGCUGAAAGCAUCUAAGCGCCAAGCCUAUCCCAAGAUGAGAUCUCCCUGAAGAACCGUGGUAGACCACCACGUUGAUAGGACCUGGGUAUACGCAUGGCAACAUGUUCAGCUCAAGGUUACUAAUGUUCGUUCGGCUUUUUUAA